GCUGGGCAUGGUGGUGCGUGCCUAUAGUCCCAGCUACUCUGGAGGCUGAGGUGGGAGGAUCACUUGAGCCCAGGAGUUUGGGGCUAUAAUGAGCUAUGAUCGUCACUGCUCCAGCCUGGGCAAUAGAAUGAGACCCUGUCUCAA
rfam:Pan troglodytes isolate Yerkes chimp pedigree #C0471 (Clint) chromosome 9, whole genome shotgun sequence.